CUGAUGCCUGCGCCCUCACCACUCCCUGUGAAGGACACCCAGCUGACCCAACCCUCCUCGUGUGCCCCUGAGAGCUCCCUGCAGCACAGCGAGUCUCUUCUUGGAUGGCUCAGAGGCACAGAAGAUGUAGCCAGACUUGCCGGCCAAACCCGAGGGUGUGUGUUGAUGCUGGGACCAAGAAGAAGAAGAAGAAGAAGAGGAGGAGAAGGAAGAAGAUGAUAAUGGCAACAGAAGAUCAGAAGAAGAGGAGGAGGAAGAAUGGAAGAAUGCACACACACACACACACACAUGACAAAG